GGGCCCAUAAUUCAGCGGUAGAAUGCUCCGUUCGCUGCGGGGAUGUCUCGGGUUCAAAGCGGCUCGCUUCACUGCGUGCGCUCGCCUAGGUUUGCUUCGCAAACAAAGAGGCUAUGAAAGUCCCGAUGGGUCCA
rnacentral:tRNA from 1 species